UACGGGGGGAGCAAGCGUUGUUCGGAUUUACUGGGCGUAAAGGGCGCGUAGGCGGCCUUCUAAGUCAGACGUGAAAUCCCCCGGCUUAACCUGGGAACUGCGUCUGAUACUGGAAGGCUUGAGUGCGGGAGAGGGAUGUGGAAUUCCAGGUGUAGCGGUGAAAUGCGUAGAUAUCUGGAGGAACACCGGUGGCGAAGGCGGCAUCCUGGACCGACACUGACGCUGAGGCGCGAAAGCUAGGGUAGCAAACGGG
rnacentral:rRNA from 1 species